GGGGGGGGGGGGGGGGGGGGCUGGGGGGGGGGGGGGGGGGGAGGGGGGGGGGGGCUUGGUGCGCUGACGUGGCCGGGGGGCGGGUGAGUAGCGGGUGGAUAACGUACCUAUAAGGCUGGGAGCACUUCGGACAACCGGGGCUCAUACCGGCUAAUAUAUUGAAUAGUAUUGUUACAUGUUGAGAGAGGGUUUUGCUGUCCCGUCUACAUGGCUCCGCGCCGCAGUAGCUCGUUGGUAAGGUAACGGCUUAUCAAGGCAACGAUGCGUAUCCGACGUGAGAGGGUGAUCGGCCACACUGGAACAGAGACACUGUCCAGACUACUACGAGAGGCAGCAGUAGGGAAUCUUCCGCAAUGGGCGAAAGUCUGACGGAGCAACGCCGCGUGAGUGAUGAAGGUCUUCGGAUCGUAAAACUCUGUUAUUAGGGAAGAACAAAUGUGUAAGUAACUAUGCACGUCUUGACGGUACCUAAUCAGAAAGCCACGGCUAACUACG
rnacentral:rRNA from 1 species